rnacentral:rRNA from 1 species
GAUAUAAGGGCGUAUGGAGGAUGCCUAGACACUAGAAGGCGAUGAAGGUCGUGGCGUGACUGCGAUAAACUUCGGGGAGCCGUCGAGCGGGCUUUGAUCCGGAGGUAACCGAAUGGGGCAACCCAAUAUGACAAACUCAUAUUAUCUCGCGUAAGCGAGAUGCGUACCUGGGGAAGUGAAACAUCUCAGUACCCAGAGGAAAAGAGAACGAAGUUAUCCCCUUAGUAGCGGCGAGCGAAAAGGGAACAGCCUAAACCGAUUUCAUAAUUUAUUAUGUCGUCGGGGUAAUAGGGAUAGUACAACUAAAAAUUUGAAUUUCGGUCUUCUUGAUCGAGAUUCAAGUUUUUAAAAGAAGUUACAAAUUCGUGCGUUAGCAGAAUGGCCCUGGAAUGGCCAACCAAAGAAGGUGACAGUCCUGUAAGCGAAAACAAACGAACUUCUGUAUUAUUUCCUGAGUAGCCCGGGAUAAGGAUGUCCUGGGUGAAUUUGUCCAUACUACUGGAUAAGGCUAAAUACUUCUAGUGAUCGAUAGUGAACCAGUACCGUGAGGGAAAGGUGAAAAGCACCCCGAUGAGGGGAGUGAAAUAGCAACUGAAACCAUAUGCCUACAAAGAGCAGGAGCCGUACUUUGCACAGAGAUCCUAAGUCCUAAACGAAUUGGAAAAUUGUUUAGAGUUUGGAAAUUAGAAUUUAGAGUUUCCGUGCAGGGUGCGGUGACUGUGUGCCUAUUGAAGAAUGACCCAACGAGUUUAUUUAAAUUACACUCUAAGUCCUUAUGGGACGAAGGGGAAGGGAAACCGAGUGUUAAUAGCGCGUCAUCCAACUUAAAUUUUUGGACUACGUAAGUUCAAAAAUUUAAGUUGGAUAUGUAGUUUGAGUAAGACCCGAAGCCAGGCGAGCUAACCAUGACCAGGAUGAAGGUUACCGAAAGGUAACUGGAGGUCCGAACCAGUUGGUAGCGCAAUACCAUUGGAUGAGUUGUGGUUCGUAGUGAAAAGCUUAUCGAGCUUGGUAAUAGCUGGUUCUCUCCGAAAUGCCUUUAGGGGCAGCGUUGCACAGUAGCAGAGGGGGUAGAGCACUGAAUGGUAAUCCGUGCCCUUUUGGGUAGGACUACCAAACAAACUCCGAAUACCUUUGUGGAAUGUGCGGCAGUGAGUAAGCGGGGGCAAAGCUUCGUUUACGCAAGGGAAACAGCCCAGAUCACCGCUUAAGGUCCCAAAAUUUAGACUAAGUGAAAAGGAAGUGUUUUGCCUUAGACAGGUAGGAGGUUGGCUUAGAAGCAGCCAUCCUUUAAAGAGUGCGUAAUAGCUCACUAUUCGAUCUCAUCGCAAGAUGAGGAGGCAAAGUGCGCCGAAAAUUUAUAGGGGCUAAGUCUAAUACCGAAAGCGUGGGUUCGGUGAUUUCAUAAAGGAAAGUUGUGGACAGAGAUAGUUCAAGGGAAGAACAUCUGGCCUCAUAAGCCAGAGAUACGUGGCUCAACUCCACGGCUCUGUCCCAUAAGUCGGGCGGGAACGACAAUCAAUUUCAUACAGAACCUGUCUGCCAGACACAGCGGGUUCCACGAUUGUUGUUUUCGUCCGACAACCUUUCAUCUCGUUCUUCGAGAUGUCCUUUAUGAAACCACCGAGCGGUAGGAGAGCAUUCUGAUCUGCUGUGAAGGUUCGCUGUGAAGCGGGCUGGAGCGGUCAGAAGGGAAAAUGUUGGGAUGAGUAACCGCAAGACCGGUUAAAGUCCGGUCCGUCGUAAGCCUAAGGUUUCCUCCGCGAUGGCAAUCAUCGGAGGGUUAGGCGUCCCUAAGGAUAACCGUGCUUUCGAGCGCGGGAUGCCGAUGGUGAGCCGGUUAAUAUUCCGGCCCCACUUAUGUAUAUCUGAUUGAGAUGACGGGCAACACAAGAUCAAGCACAUUAUUGGAUUUGAUGUUUUCCACCCAUAGACUUUCUACCAGGAAAAUCCGGUAGAGGCCGCAAGGCAAUGUCGAGGGUAGAAGAAAUCGUCGCAAGACGAGAUUUGAUCGAAGAGGGCUCCAAGAAAAGUCUCUAAUGUUAGUACAUGAGUGCACGUACCUAAAACCGAAACAGGUGGGCUGGUGUAAGUGCACCAAGACGAACGGGUGAUUAUUGGUUAAGGAACUCGGCAAAAAAGCGGCCGUAAGUUCGCGAUAAGGCCUGCCGCCGCAAGGCGGCCACAGCUAAAGAACCCCUGGCGACUGUUUAUCAAAAACACAACUCCGUGCUAAGCCGAAAGGCGCUGUAUACGGGGUGACGCUUGUCCGGUGCCGGAACGUUAACGGUGGAGGUGGUAUGUCGCAAGAUGUACUGCUGACGCCCGAAGCGCCGGUGAACGACGGCAGUAACUAUAACUGUCUAAAAGUAGCAAAAUACCUUGUGGGGUAAGUUCCCACGCGCAUGAAUAGCGGAACGACUGGGGGACUGUCU